rnacentral:rRNA from 1 species
AUGAACGCUGGCGGCGUGCUUAACCCCUGCAAGUCGAACGAAGCACUUUAUUUGAUUUCCUUCGGGACUGAUUAUUUUGUGACUGAGUGGCGGACGGGUGAGUAACGCGUGGGUAACCUGCCUUGUACAGGGGGAUAACAGUUGGAAACGGCUGCUAAUACCGCAUAAGCGCACAGCAUCGCAUGAUGCAGUGUGAAAAACUCCGGUGGUAUAAGAUGGACCCGCGUUGGAUUAGCUAGUUGGUGAGGUAACGGCCCACCAAGGCGACGAUCCAUAGCCGACCUGAGAGGGUGACCGGCCACAUUGGGACUGAGACACGGCCCAAACUCCUACGGGAGGCAGCAGUGGGGAAUAUUGCACAAUGGGCGAAAGCCUGAUGCAGCGACGCCGCGUGAGCGAAGAAGUAUUUCGGUAUGUAAAGCUCUAUCAGCAGGGAAGAUAAUGACGGUACCUGACUAAGAAGCACCGGCUAAAUACGUG